rnacentral:rRNA from 1 species
GAUGAACGCUGGCGGCGUGCCUAAUACAUGCAAGUCGAGCGAACAGACGAGGAGCUUACUCCUCUGACGUUAGCGGCGGACGGGUGAGUAACACGUGGAUAACCUACCUAUAAGACUGGGAUAACUUCGGGAAACCGGAGCUAAUACCGGAUAACAUGUUGAACCGCAUGGUUCAACAGUGAAAGACGGUCUUGCUGUCACUUAUAGAUGGAUCCGCGUCGCAUUAGCUAGUUGGUAAGGUAACGGCUUACCAAGGCAGCGAUGCGUAGCCGACCUGAGAGGGUGAUCGGCCACACUGGAACUGAGACACGGUCCAGACUCCUACGGGAGGCAGCAGUAGGGAAUCUUCCGCAAUGGGCGAAAGCCUGACGGAGCAACGCCGCGUGAGUGAAGAAGGUCUUCGGAUCGUAAAACUCUGUUAUUAGGGAAGAACAAAUGUGUAAGUAACUAUGCACGUCUUGACGGUACCUAAUCAGAAAGCCACGACUAACUACGUGCCAGCAGCCGCGGUAAUACGUAGGUGGCAAGCGUUAUCCGGAAUUAUUGGGCGUAAAGCGCGCGUAGGCGGUUUUUUAAGUCUGAUGUGAAAGCCCACGGCUCAACCGUGGAGGGUCAUUGGAAACUGGAAAACUUGAGUGCAGAAGAGGAAAGUGGAAUUCCAUGUGUAGCGGUGAAAUGCGCAGAGAUAUGGAGGAACACCAGUGGCGAAGGCGACUUUCUGGUCUGUAACUGACGCUGAUGUGCGAAAGCGUGGGGAUCAAACAGGAUUAGAUACCCCGGUAGUCCACGCCGUAAACGAUGAGUGCUAAGUGUUAGGGGGUUUCCGCCCCUUAGUGCUGCAGCUAACGCAUUAAGCACUCCGCCUGGGGAGUACGACCGCAAGGUUGAAACUCAAAGGAAUUGACGGGGACCCGCACAAGCGGUGGAGCAUGUGGUUUAAUUCGAAGCAACGCGAAGAACCUUACCAAAUCUUGACAUCCUCUGACCCCUCUAGAGAUAGAGUUUUCCCCUUCGGGGGACAGAGUGACAGGUGGUGCAUGGUUGUCGUCAGCUCGUGUCGUGAGAUGUUGGGUUAAGUCCCGCAACGAGCGCAACCCUUAAGCUUAGUUGCCAUCAUUAAGUUGGGCACUCUAAGUUGACUGCCGGUGACAAACCGGAGGAAGGUGGGGAUGACGUCAAAUCAUCAUGCCCCUUAUGAUUUGGGCUACACACGUGCUACAAUGGACAAUACAAAGGGUAGCGAAACCGCGAGGUCAAGCAAAUCCCAUAAAGUUGUUCUCAGUUCGGAUUGUAGUCUGCAACUCGACUACAUGAAGCUGGAAUCGCUAGUAAUCGUAGAUCAGCAUGCUACGGUGAAUACGUUCCCGGGUCU